UUUAUUAGUUGGUUUUAAGUGAAUUUGAAGCAUAACAUGGUAUUGUUCACGUGCUACAUGACCAUGCAAGCUCGUUUUUGCAAAUUUGCACUUUGCUUCAUUAUUUCCUUAAUCAUGAUUAACCAUUGCCUAAUUCUAAUUUCAGCAGCAUUAGUGAACCAUAUAAAAGCCAAACCCUAACUGUUUUUGCUCAUAACAGAAUUUGAGAUCUAGAAUUUUCCAUUUUCCCUCCAAUUUUCUCUCUCUUCAAUUUUCAUUUUUCUUC
rnacentral:lncRNA from 1 species